ensembl:snRNA U6 U6 spliceosomal RNA
AUGCUCACUUUUGGUGGCACUUAUACCAAAACUGGAAGGAUAUAUCGAAGAUUAGCAUGGUCCCUAUGUAAUGAUGAUAUCAAGUUUAUGUAGUGCUCCAUAAGUUUUU